CCUACGGGAUGCAGCAGUGGGGAAUAUUGCACAAUGGGCGCAAGCCUGAUGCAGCCAUGCCGCGUGUAUGAAGAAGGCCUUCGGGUUGUAAAGUACUUUCAGCGGGGGGGAAGGUGUUGUGGUUAAUAACUGCAGCAAUUGACGUUACCCGCAGAAGAAGCACCGGCUAACUCCGUGCCAGCAGCCGCGGUAAUACGGAGGGUGCAAGCGUUAAUCGGAAUGACUGGGCGUAAAGCGCACGCAGGCGGUUUGUUAAGUCAGAUGUGAAAUCCCCGAGCUUAACUUGGGAACUGCAUUUGAAACUGGCAAGCUAGAGUCUUGUAGAGGGGGGUAGAAUUCCAGGUGUAGCGGUGGAAUGCGUAGAGAUCUGGAGGAAUACCGGUGGCGAAGGCGGCCCCCUGGACAAAGACUGACGCUCAGGUGCGAAAGCGUGGGGAGCAAACAGGAUUAGAUACCCGGGUAGUC
rnacentral:rRNA from 1 species